UGAUUGGAAAGGGCCUGAGGAGGCUCUGGGUCCUGACGGCACCCUGGAUGGUCUCUGAUAAAUACUCAGGUGGGUGCUUAGGCUUCCUGCCCUCCUCCACGCGCCUUCCUCUUCAGUGACAAGGUGGGAAACGAACCCAGGCCAGUCCAGGUCGCAAACUCCUCUGUUAGCCUUGCUGUUUUCAGAAGGCGAGCUCAGCCCCGCCCCACCAAUGUUUGGACAUUUCCACGUGACGUCACGGAGAGUUUAAGGGGGAUCUGUGCUAAACCCAGGGCUUUUUCUUCCUCAACCAAUUUUCUCUUUUUCCACACCAGCUGCAUCUGGGGAGGCCCCGGCAGACAUCUGAAUCUGAGUGUUGGGGGAGCAGUUCUCAGAGGCUGUUAUGCAAGAUGAAGAAGCGUUUAUUGUUGCAGAACCUAUAUCCCUACACCUCCUGUCCCAUGGCUUUCUUUUAUGAAAAGAGACAGGAAUACUGACAUGCAAUAAACUGUAUAUGUGUCAAGUGUUUAGUUAGAUGAACUUUGACUCAUAGAAACAGCCGUGAAAUCAGGACAAUGAACACAUCAAUCACCCCAGAUGGUUCUUAU
rnacentral:lncRNA from 1 species